rnacentral:rRNA from 1 species
CCUACGGGUGGCUGCAGUGGGGAAUUUUGCACAAUGGGGGAAACCCUGAUGCAGCGACGCCGCGUGGGUGAUGAAGGCCCUAGGGUUGUAAAGCCCUUUCAGCAGGGAAGAUGAUGACGGUACCUGCAGAAGAAGCCCCGGCUAACUCCGUGCCAGCAGCCGCGGUAAUACGGAGGGGGCUAGCGUUGUUCGGAAUCACUGGGCGUAAAGCGCGCGUAGGCGGCUUGGAAAGUUGGGUGUGAAAUCCCGGGGCUUAACCCCGGAACUGCACUCAAAACUUCUUGGCUAGAGACUUAGAGAGGUGGGCGGAAUUCCGAGUGUAGAGGUGAAAUUCGUAGAUAUUCGGAAGAACACCGGUUGCGAAGGCGGCUCACUGGCUAAGUUCUGACGCUGAGGUGCGAAAGCGUGGGGAGCAAACAGGAUUAGAUACCCCGGUAGUC